UCUUUGGUAGUACGGAGGUCAGUAUUCAAGCUUGUCAGUUGCCUCAGAUUCCACUAAGCAGCUGAGCUCGCUUGAGACUCGGGUUCGAUUCCCAGCGGAAGAG